GAACCAGUUUAGUAGCCCUUCUCUGAACUCUCUCUAAUAUUGAUACUUUAGAGAGAGUUCAGAGAAGGGCUACUAAACUGAUUCA